UACGUAGGGCGCAAGCGUUGUCCGGAAUUAUUGGGCGUAAAGAGCUCGUAGGCGGCUUGUUGCGUCGGUUGUGAAAGCCCGGGGCUUAACCCCGGGUCUGCAGUCGAUACGGGCAGGCUAGAGUGUGGUAGGGGAGAUCGGAAUUCCUGGUGUAGCGGUGAAAUGCGCAGAUAUCAGGAGGAACACCGGUGGCGAAGGCGGAUCUCUGGGCCAUUACUGACGCUGAGGAGCGAAAGCGUGGGGAGCGAACAGG
rnacentral:rRNA from 2 species